rnacentral:rRNA from 1 species
GUAGUCAUAUGCUUGUCUCAAAGAUUAAGCCAUGCAUGUCUAAGUAUAAACCAAUUUGUACGGUGAAACUGCGAAUGGCUCAUUAUAUCAGUUAUUGUUUAUUUGAUGAUACCUUGCCACUUGGAUAACCGUGGUAAUUCUAGAGCUAAUACAUGCACGAAACCCCGACUUCCGGAAGGGGUGUAUUUAUUAGGUAAAAGCCAACCCGGGGCAACCCGGCCGCUGGUGAUUCAUGAUAACUUUGCGAACCGCAUGCCCUUGCGGCGGCGGUGGAUCAUUCAAAUUUCUGCCCUAUCAACUUUCGACGAUAGGAUAGAGGCCUAUCGUGGUUUCAACGGGUAACGGGGAAUA